AACGAACGCUGGCGGCGUGGAUUAGGCAUGCAAGUCGAACGCGAAAGAGGGAGCAAUCCCUCGAGUAGAGUGGCGAACGGGUGAGUAACGCGUGAAGAACCUGCCUUCAACAGGGGGAUAACACUCCCAACGGGGUGCUAAUACCGCAUGAGACCACGGGGUCGCAUGGCCCUGAGGUCAAAGGUGGCCUCUAUUUAUAAGCUACCGGUUGAAGAUGGCUUCGCGUCCCAUUAGCUAGUUGGCGGUGUAAAAGACCACCAAGGCGACGAUGGGUAGCUGGUCUGAGAGGAUGGUCAGCCACACUGGGACUGAGAUACGGCCCAGACUCCUACGGGAGGCAGCAGUCGAGAGGCUUUGGCAAUGGGGGAAACCCUGACCAAGCGACGCCGCGUGGAGGAUGAAGGCCCUUGGGUUGUAAACUCCUUUUGCUAGGGAAGAAAUGCGAUCAGGUGAACAAUCUGGUCGUUUGACGGUACCUGGCGAAUAAGCUCGGCUAACUCCGUGCCAGC
rnacentral:rRNA from 1 species